CAAUCGCGUGUUUUACAGUCCCACCGGUUAAAACAGAAUCCGUUCUACAGCGUCUCGCAUACUCAGGACGGAAGAUCAUCUACGCUACCCAACAGGCUUUCAGCAGGGUCACCGGGGAAGCUUACUGCCAUCGCCAUUUGCAGCAUGGCCCUGUCUGUGGAAAGGAAGGGAGCGCCUGGAGCCCUUGCCGUGGUCUCGGAUCUAUAGGCCUCUCACAAGCCAGGUGACGAGUCCUUAGGUCAAAGCUUGAGCUGCACCGUCACUUUAAUGUGGUACCUGUGGCACUGCUGCUGAGUCACUCCUCCUUUCUCUACCCUCAUGUACUUACUCCUGUCCCUCCCCUAUGCUGGAACAAGCAUUUUUUCUAGCUCUGUAGUAAACCGAUCCGUAUUAAAAAUGACAUGAUUUCUU